rnacentral:rRNA from 1 species
GGCGAAGGCGACUUUCUGGUCUGUAACUGACGCUGAUGUGCGAAAGCGUGGGGAUCAAACAGGAUUAGAUACCCUGGUAGUCCACGCCGUAAACGAUGAGUGCUAAGUGUUAGGGGGUUUCCGCCCNUUAGUGCUGCAGCUAACGCAUUAAGCANUCCGCCUGGGGAGUACGACCGCAAGGUUGAAACUCAAAGGAAUUGACGGGGACCCGCACAAGCGGUGGAGCAUGUGGUUUAAUUNGAAGCAACGCGAAGAACCUUACCAAAUCUUGACAUCCUUUGAAAACUCUAGAGAUAGANCCUUCCCCUUCGGGGGACAAAGUGACAGGUGGUGCAUGGUUGUCGUCAGCUCGUGUCGUGAGAUGUUGGGUUAAGUCCCGCAACGAGCGCAACCCUUAAGCUUAGUUGCCAUCAUUAAGUUGGGCACUCUAGGUUGACUGCCGGUGACAAACCGGAGGAAGGUGGGGAUGACGUCAAAUCAUCAUGCCCCUUAUGAUUUGGGCUACACACGUGCUACAAUGGACAAUACAAAGGGCAGCUAAACCGCGAGGUCAUGCAAAUCCCAUAAAGUUGUUCUCAGUUCGGAUUGUAGUCUGCAACUCGACUACAUGAAGCUGGAAUCGCUAGUAAUCGUAGAU